GUGCUCAAUUCACCAACACAUAUACUAAAAUUGGAAUGAUACAGAGAAGAUUAGCAUAGCCCUUGCAGAAGGAAUACACACAAAUUCAUGAAGUGUUCCAUAUUUUU
rnacentral:snRNA from 1 species